ACAUGAAGCUGGAAUCGCUAGUAAUCGCGGAUCAGAAUGCCGCGGUGAAUACGUUCCCGGGUCUUGUACACACCGCCCGUCACACCAUGGGAGUCGGAAAUGCCCGAAGUCUGUGACCUAACCGUAAGGGAGGAGCAGCCGAAGGCAGGUCGGAUGACUGGGGUGAAGUCGUAACAAGGUAUC
rnacentral:rRNA from 1 species